AUUGAACGCUGGCGGCAGGCUUAACACAUGCAAGUCGAGCGAGCGGCGGACGGGUGAGUAAUGUCUGGGACACAGCCUGCUGGCGGGGGAUAACUCCUGGAAACGGUAGCUAAUACCGCAUACCAUCAGAUGUGCCCAGAUGGGAUUAGCUAGUAGGUGGGGUAAUGGCUCACCUAGGCGACGCUCCCUAGCUGGUCUGAGAGGAUGACCAGCCACACGGGAACUGAGACACGGUCCAGACUCCUAGGGGAGGCAGCAGUGGGGAAUAGUGCACAAUGGGGGCAAGCCUGAUGCAGCCAUGCCGCGUGUGUGAAGAAGGCCUUCGGGUUGUAAAGCACUUUCAGCGAGGAGGCGUUACUCGCAGAAGAAGCACCGGCUAACUCCGUGCCAGCAGCCGCGGUAAUAC
rnacentral:rRNA from 1 species